UACGGAGGGUGCAAGCGUUAUCCGGAUUCACUGGGUUUAAAGGGUGCGUAGGUGGGUCUGUAAGUCUGUGGUGAAAUCUCUGAGCUUAACUCGGAAACUGCCAUGGAUACUAUAGAUCUUGAAUACCGUGGAGGAUAGCGGAAUAUGUCAUGUAGCGGUGAAAUGCUUAGAUAUGACAUAGAACACCAAUUGCGAAGGCAGCUGUCUAGCCGAAUAUUGACACUGAGGCACGAAAGCGUGGGGAUCAAACAGG
rnacentral:rRNA from 1 species